UAGUGAAGUUAUCCGCGCAUUACGGCGGAAUGAUACUAUAGAAUAUAAAAUAUAAAUAAAAUAAAAAUUUUAAAUUUUUUGAUUUGAUAUGGGACUUCAAUAAACACAAAUAUAAAAUAUAAAAUAGAUAUAUGUAUAGAUAUAACAAAAUUUAUAAUUUUGAUAAAUAAAUCACACAUAAUAAUAAUAAAAUAAGCAAUAAAUUUUUUUUUUACCCCAUACACAUCUUCAUUGCACUAUCGACAUCGAAGAGGCAAAUUUCGAUCUUUACGUCGCCUUCACCGCUAGUGUCCAGCUCCUCUUUAGUCACGACCAUAUCAAUCCCGUAUCCACAUCCACUGCUUCUUCCCUCUCACUGACUCCAAAUCCAUCACCGUUUUCUUCUGCAGCGCUCCGUCGCGAUCCUCGAAACCCUAAUUUCAAUUCACACACAACAAAAAAUUUUAAAAAGUUACAAAACAUGAGCCCUUUUUGUGCGCCAAGAAAAAAAGAAAAAAAAGAUAUGAAGAAAUAGAGAUUAAACCAUGUAAAUAUAUUAAUUGAGAGAUAAGGGGGAGAAAAAAAACAAUAUGAAAAAAAAGAUAUGAAGAAAUGGAGAUGAAACCAUGUAAACAUAUUAAUUGAGAGAUAGGGGGGUUAGGAAGAUGAAGCAUUGGGUGGAGAUGGUAUUAUGUAAACACAUUAAUUGAGUGGGGGUUUAGGAAGAUGAAACAUUGGGUGAAAAUGAGAGUGGAAAGGGAGAAGAGAAAAGAGUGAAGGAGAAAUCGCCACAUGACAAAAAAUUAGGAAAAAUAAUGUAUAAGUAUAGAAGUAUAGAAGUAUAGAAGUACAGAAGUAUAGAAGUAUAGAUAUAGAUAUAGAUAAUAAUAAUAAACGUGACCAUGUAUAUGUAUAAAUAUAAUAAUUAUUGUAAUAUAUAAGAGGUUUAGUAUGAAGGACCCACACAUAAAUUUAUGAGUCAGCAUUGUAGUGUUAUUGAAAUAAAGAUACCUGCCACAUGUGUGCUAUGCUUUUGGUCACCCAAAAGGCCAAAAAAUUAUAGCUCAACCCCACAAUUAUUUGGCUUAGCUUUUAAGCAAAUAUAGGGAGUGUUUGGCCUACCUUUUAAAAAGCGUUUUUGGAUUGAAAAGUAAUUUUUGGCUCAAUAGAGAGCUUGGCAAUCUCAUUUUAAAAAUCUGAUUCUGCUACUCAGAAUUAAAAAACUAAUUUGGAAGGCCCAAAAAUCAGAAGCAGAAAAAAAUUGCUUCUUGAAAUCUGAUUCUGAUUUUGGACUCAAACUUUAAAUUUUUAAUUUCAUUUUAAAUUCAAUGUUUAAAUUUAAAUUUAAUUUUAAAUUUUAAUUUUCAGAUUCAUUUUUGAAUUUUUAAAUUUUAACUUUUAAAAUUUAAAAUUUGAAAAAUAGAUUUCAAACUUUAAAAUUUUAAUUUUAAUUNUUUUUAAAAUUUAAAAUUUAAAAUUUUAAAAUUCAAAUUUUAAAUAUUCAAAUUUAAAUUUUAAAUUUUAAAUUUUAAUUUUUUAAUAUUCAAAUUUUAAAUUUUAAAUUUUAAAUUUUAAAUUUUAAAUUAUUUUUUUAAUUUAAAUUUUAAAUUUUAAAUUUUGUACAAUUUUGAAAUUUAAAAAUUUUAAUUUAAUUCAAAUUUAAAUUUAGAUUUUAAAUUAUUUUAAAAUAAAAUUUGAUAAAAAUAUUAAUUUAUGUAAAUAUUAAAAAACUUUUGCCAAACAGCUUUUCAAAAUCACUUCAGCAAAAUCACUUUUAUCUAAACUCGGCCAAACGCUCUACAGCUUUUAACCAAAAUUAUUUCUCCAAACCAAAAUUAUUUUUUCAAAAAUCACUUCUUCAAAAGCUAGGCCGAACGGGCCCAUAGUUGUCUAAGUAAUCUACUAUGCCUUUUUAGCUCCAAGAUUUAAUUAAUAAUUUUCAUGAUAAUAUGAUUUGUUAAUAAUUCUAAUGUUUAACUAGUGAAGUUACCCGCGCAUUGCGGCGGACUGAUACUAUAAGAGACAGGAGAUUGACAAACUAAAAUAUUUUAAAAUUUUUUCACUUGUAUUAAGAAAUCAAUAAAUACAAAUAAAAGAUAUGAAAUAGAUAUAACAACAUUUAUAAUUUCAACAAAUAAAUUAUACGCAAUAAUAAAAAAAAAAAAAGCAAUAGAACACUACUCCAUACGCACCUUAAUUGUGUUGCUGAUAUCGAAAAGGUGAAUCUUGAUCUCCACUUCUCAUUCACCGUCAUUAUCAGCGUCGAGUUUCUGUUUAAUCACGACAAUACAUAUCUUUUUUUUUUUAUAAUAUUGAUUUAUUUAGAUGACAAUGAAUGUGAACAUAUUAAUUAAGAAAUGGACACGUGAGAAGACGAAACAUCACGCGAAGAUAAAAGAUAAUAAAUUCGAUCAUUAGGAAUUAGGAAGAAGGCAAUAGAAGGCAAGGAUGGGAGAAGAAGGCAAGGAUGAAGGAGACUUUGCUAUAUGGCAAAGUUUAUGAGGAAUAAUGUAUAGGUAUAGAUAUAGAUUCUGGUGUUUGGUGAAUAGUUCUCAAAAAGAUGGAAGAAC
rnacentral:lncRNA from 1 species